CAGUCGAGCGGUAGCACAGAGAGCUUGCUCUCGGGUGACGAGCGGCGGACGGGUGAGUAAUGUCUGGGAAACUGCCUGAUGGAGGGGGAUAACUACUGGAAACGGUAGCUAAUACCGCAUAACGUCGCAAGACCAAAGUGGGGGACCUUCGGGCCUCAUGCCAUCAGAUGUGCCCAGAUGGGAUUAGCUAGUAGGUGGGGUAACGGCUCACCUAGGCGACGAUCCCUAGCUGGUCUGAGAGGAUGACCAGCCACACUGGAACUGAGACACGGUCCAGACUCCUACGGGAGGCAGCAGUGGGGAAUAUUGCACAAUGGGCGCAAGCCUGAUGCAGCCAUGCCGCGUGUGUGAAGAAGGCCUUCGGGUUGUAAAGCACUUUCAGCGGGGAGGAAGGCGAUAAGGUUAAUAACCUUGUCGAUUGACGUUACCCGCAGAAGAAGCACCGGCUAACUCCGUGCCAGCAGCCGCGGUAAUACGGAGGGUGCAAGCGUUAAUCGGAAUUACUGGGCGUAAAGCGCACGCAGGCGGUCUGUCAAGUCGGAUGUGAAAUCCCCGGGCUCAACCUGGGAACUGCAUUCGAAACUGGCAGGCUAGAGUCUUGUAGAGGGGGGUAGAAUUCCAGGUGUAGCGGUGAAAUGCGUAGAGAUCUGGAGGAAUACCGGUGGCGAAGGCGGCCCCCUGGACAAAGACUGACGCUCAGGUGCGAAAGCGUGGGGAGCAAACAGGAUUAGAUACCCUGGUAGUCCACGCCGUAAACGAUGUCGAUUUGGAGGUUGUGCCCUUGAGGCGUGGCUUCCGGAGCUAACGCGUUAAAUCGACCGCCUGGGGAGUACGGCCGCAAGGUUAAAACUCAAAUGAAUUGACGGGGGCCCGCACAAGCGGUGGAGCAUGUGGUUUAAUUCGAUGCAACGCGAAGAACCUUACCUGGUCUUGACAUCCACAGAACUUUCCAGAGAUGGAUUGGUGCCUUCGGGAACUGUGAGACAGGUGCUGCAUGGCUGUCGUCAGCUCGUGUUGUGAAAUGUUGGGUUAAGUCCCGCAACGAGCGCAACCCUUAUCCUUUGUUGCCAGCGGUUCGGCCGGGAACUCAAAGGAGACUGCCAGUGAUAAACUGGAGGAAGGUGGGGAUGACGUCAAGUCAUCAUGGCCCUUACGACCAGGGCUACACACGUGCUACAAUGGCAUAUACAAAGAGAAGCGACCUCGCGAGAGCAAGCGGACCUCAUAAAGUAUGUCGUAGUCCGGAUUGGAGUCUGCAACUCGACUCCAUGAAGUCGGAAUCGCUAGUAAUCGUAGAUCAGAAUGCUACGGUGAAUACGUUCCCGGGCCUUGUACACACCGCCCGUCACACCAUGGGAGUGGGUGCAAAAGAAGUAGGUAGCUUAACCUUCGGGAGGGCGCUA
rnacentral:rRNA from 1 species